rnacentral:rRNA from 1 species
CCCUUAGAUGCUCUGGGCCGCACGCGCGCUACACUGGUCGAUGCAACGAGUUUCUUUCCUUGGCCGACAGGCCUGGGCAAUCUUUGAACAUCGAUCGUGAUCGGGAUAGAUUCUUGUAAUUUUUGAUCUUAAACGAGGAAUUCCUAGUAAACGCAAGUCAUCAGCUUGCAUUGAUUACGUCCCUGCCCUUUGUACACACCGCCCGUCGCACCUACCGAUUGAAUGGUCCGGUGAAAUCUCCGGACUGGCGUGAGUCGGAGCAAUCUGACAAACACCGGAAAGUUGAUUAAACCUUACCAUUUAGAGGAGGGCGAAGUCGUAACA